GACGAACGCUGGCGGCGUGCUUAACACAUGCAAGUCGAACGGAAAGGCCCUGCUUUUGUGGGGUGCUCGAGUGGCGAACGGGUGAGUAACACGUGAGUAACCUGCCCUUGACUUUGGGAUAACUUCAGGAAACUGGGGCUAAUACCGGAUAGGAGCUCCUGCUGCAUGGUGGGGGUUGGAAAGUUUCGGCGGUUGGGGAUGGACUCGCGGCUUAUCAGCUUGUUGGUGGGGUAGUGGCUUACCAAGGCUUUGACGGGUAGCCGGCCUGAGAGGGUGACCGGCCACAUUGGGACUGAGCUACGGCCCAGCCUCCUCCGGGAGGCAGCAGUGGGGAAUAGUGCACAAUGGGCUGAAGCCUGAUGCAGCAACGCCGCGUGCGGGAUGACGGCCUUCGGGUUGUAUUCCGCUUUCGCCUGUGACGAAGCGUGAGUGACGGUAAUGGGUAAAGAAGCACCGGCUAACUACGUG
rnacentral:rRNA from 1 species